rnacentral:rRNA from 1 species
AUUGAACGCUGGCGGCAGGCCUAACACAUGCAAGUCGAACGGAGUGGCGGACGGGUGAGUAAUGUCUGGGAAUCUGCCUGGUAGUGGGGGAUAACGUCCGGAAACGGGCGCUAAUACCGCAUAUUAUUCGAGCGGCCGAUAACUGAUUAGCUAGUUGGUGGGGUAAAGGCCUACCAAGGCGACGAUCAGUAGCGGGUCUGAGAGUACGAUCCGCCACCCUGGGACUUAGACACGGCCCAGACUCCUACGGGAGGCAGCAGUGGGGAAGAUUGGACAAUGGGCGAAAGCCUGAUCCAGCCAUGCCGCGUGUGUGAAGAAGGUCUUCGGAUUGUAAAGCACUUUAAGUUGGGAGGCGUUACCAACAGAAUAAGCACCGGCUAACUUCGUGCCAGCAGCCGCGGUAAUAC